rfam:Triticum urartu cultivar G1812 contig307009, whole genome shotgun sequence.
GUGAUACUCCCUCCGUCCGAAAAAACUUGUCCCUCAAAUGAAUGUAUUUAAUAUCAAGUUAGUGCUAGAUACAUCCAUUCGAGGGACAAGCUUUUUCGGACAGAGGGAGUACCAU